rfam:Fukomys damarensis contig125727, whole genome shotgun sequence.
AUCCUUUUGUGUUUCAUAAGCAUGACAACUGGGGUUUUGUAAUACUGUGCAAGGUGUGUCUUGUUCAAACCUUGUUAUGAUAAGCACAUUACCCACCUGAUA